GCAUGCCUAUAGAAUAGUGUUAAUGCAAUAGAUCCCAUUAUAAAUCCACAGCUAAGCAUGCUCAAGCUAGAGUAGUACUGGGAUGGGUGACCACCCAGAAAGUCCUAGUGUUUUACAUGCC
rnacentral:rRNA from 1 species